rnacentral:rRNA from 1 species
CCUACGGGAGGCAGCAGUGGGGAAUUUUGGACAAUGGGCGCAAGCCUGAUCCAGCAAUGCCGCGUGAGUGAAGAAGGCCUUCGGGUUGUAAAGCUCUUUUGUCAGGGAAGAAACGGUGGAGGUUAAUACCUUCUGCUAAUGACGGUACCUGAAGAAUAAGCACCGGCUAACUACGUGCCAGCAGCCGCGGUAAUACGUAGGGUGCAAGCGUUAAUCGGAAUUACUGGGCGUAAAGCGUGCGCAGGCGGUGGUGCAAGACAGAUGUGAAAUCCCCGGGCUCAACCUGGGAAUUGCAUUUGUGACUGUACGGCUAGAGUGUGUCAGAGGGGGGUAGAAUUCCACGUGUAGCAGUGAAAUGCGUAGAGAUGUGGAGGAAUACCGAUGGCGAAGGCAGCCCCCUGGGAUAACACUGACGCUCAUGCACGAAAGCGUGGGGAGCAAACAGGAUUAGAUACCCUGGUAGUCCACGCCCUAAACGAUGUCUACUAGUUGUCGGGUCUUUAUUGACUUGGUAACGCNGCGUACGCGUGAGUAGACCGCCGUGGGUAAGGUACGGUCGUUCGAGUAGUUAAACGUUACGAAGAAGUUAGACGGCGNGAGACGNGCGACGGACGACGACGAGGGAGGAGG